rnacentral:rRNA from 1 species
UACGAAGGGGGCUAGCGUUGCUCGGAAUCACUGGGCGUAAAGGGUGCGUAGGCGGGUCUUAAGUCAGGGGUGAAAUCCUGGAGCUCAACUCCAGAACUGCCUUUGAUACUGAAGAUCUUGAGUUCGGGAGAGGUGAGUGGAACUGCGAGUGUAGAGGUGAAAUUCGUAGAUAUUCGCAAGAACACCAGUGGCGAAGGCGGCUCACUGGCCCGAUACUGACGCUGAGGCACGAAAGCGUGGGGAGCAACAGGG